GUUAUCGUAGCUGAACUAUGCACGCAGCGCGCGCGACGCACGCGACUUAAUUGGGAUCGUGUCGGUUGUAUUCCGCACGCGUCUCUUGCAACCCGUCGCCAUGUUGCUCGUGAGUUUCAUUCGGUCAAUCGUCCUACCGCAAGUCUUGUUUUCUUUUAUUUGAUGUUUACCAUCGGCUAAUACUUAGUAAAUUUCAACUUUUUAUUACUAUUUUUUGUUUGGCUAGUGUAGGAAUUUAACUUUUAGUGCCCGAACUUCUGUUUACGUAAUAUUAUUUUUUACACUAGAAUUGUUGUUGUCUAUACGCGCUUAACAAAUGUUUGUGUUUACUACAUCUCUGGAAACAUCUCAUCAGUAUUGAAAACGAUCAAUUGAUACUUUCGCUUCAGCAUCGACCGCCAUUAAUUUGCAGAUAAGUUUAUAACUGAACUACAAUUCUUAACUUAUUUUUACAAAUAAAUAUUUAUAACGUCCUUGCCAUUCAUAGGGUGUGCGUGGUCCAUUAGUUUUGUCCUUGCUAAAGAAAAUUUUCUGCUAAUGAAGGCAUUAUAUUCUUUCGUGGUAGAUGUUGCGAUUUAAACAGUACAAACAUUCAAAUUAUUAUGAGUAUGUAAACAAUUUUUUUUAUACUGUUCAAUUUUUGUUUUUAUUCUCCGCGUGUUGUCGCAUUGUUUGCAGCAAUGUACAUACGUUCCAUGUUGAUAUCACAAGCUAUGUGCCAAAGGCCACCAUUCGAAUUUACAAAAAUAUUUAAAUUUUCAUACUCUUGCUGUGGAAAUCGGGCAAACGUUAUUGUGGAAAUGUUAUUAUAAUUUCAAUGCAUUUUUUACAUUUUGAUAACGCGAGAGUUAUUCUCAAGGAUAGGCUUCUGCCAGCCCCGAAAAUCACGCGGGAACUUUGUGAAAACCGCCCCUAAAACUCAGUGAUUUUUAACAUUUUUGUAAACUUGCCGUGAAAAUUGCUCAAUAUCUCGGGAACCGGUUGCGCUAUUUCUACGUUCUUUACAUAUUUAAAUAACGCAAGAGUAUAUUUAAACGAUAGGCCUCAGCAAGUCGCAAAAUUCAUAUGGGAAGUGUGGGAAAACCGCCACCAAAACACAGUGAUUUUUAACAUUUUUGUAAACUUGCCGUGGAAAUUGCUCAAUAUCUCGGGAAGCAGUUGCGCUAUUUCUACGUUCUUUACAUAUUUCAAUAACGCAAGAGUUUAUCUAAAGGAUAGGCCUCAGCAAGCCCCAAAAAUUGCAUAGGAAGUGUGUGAAAACCGCCCCCAAAACUCAGUGAUAUUUAACAAUUUUGUAAACUUGCCUUUUGGAAAUUGCUCAAUAUCUCGGGAACCGGUUGCGCUAUUUCUACGUUGUUUACAUAUUUAAAUAUCGCGAGAGUUUAUCUUAACGACAGGUCUCAGUAAGCCCCAGUAAUCAAGCCGGACUUUAGCACUUUAGCACUUUCAGCCGCGUUUUUUGACUUCUUAUCCCAUUAUUUUAAAUUUCAAUCUUAUAGUGAAUUUUUCUACAAUUUUCUGGUUGCCAUUUCUUUUAGUUUAGAAGAGAUCAGCAUUCAAAAAUCGUUGAAAAAAAGUAUCAAGUAUCUCAAUCUCAGAUCUCUAGACUUCUUGACUAUGUGUUAUUUUUGUGUAAAACUUGAUCAUGGAAGGAAAUAUCACUUAGCCUGGAAAAUACGCCAUAUAUCUUGUACCAAUGGAGAAAAUCACAACAUCUUGUGCUCAUAUGAUACUUAAUAGUUCUUUAAUAACUUUUCCCGAUCCUUUCAACAACCUUCUACAAGUGUUCUAAAAGUGGCUUACAAAUGUACAUUAUUUUCUCGUUUCAAAAAGCUGGCUUACUUUAAACGACGGCUUACAAGUUAAUUGACAAUAUGUACUGCAUACAAAAGUGGAAACACGUGGAAACAUUAAUUAUUGAUUAUAAUAGUCUAAAUUGUGGGACUAGUAUCUGUCGCAUUCAUAUAUGGCACUAGGAUGCACUAAAACUCAUAAAAUCGAGUUAUUCGGCUUAUUUUUAUAUUUAUUGACAAACGUGGGCACGAAAAUAAAUUUGUAUACAAUACUGUUAUCUGCGAUUCAGUGUAAACAACGUUUUUAACGCAAGUGUCCCAGCGAAGUCAAGGUCGCGUUCGAUUGACGGCUUUGCACAUCUAUUGCUUUUACGUGCGCAGAUUAUGCAGCAGGUACAUAGGCUUAUUGUGAACUGUCGCAUCGUUGCUUGCGCUAUCACUGGAUUGCAUGCAGUUUCGUACCGGUCGUUGGCAUAUCCAAACGAAUUUCUCGCAACUCGUAUCGUUUGUUCGGACUUCUGCUUUCUAUAUUUGCAUUAUACUUACUCAUCAAUCGACUAUUUACUCGUAGAUUUAAUAUACAUCUGCAAUGUUUUGUUAAUGAUUAAUUGUGCAUUUAAUGUCUGUAAAGAGUUAUUUUGCUCGCGUUUUAUGCUUAUAUUCGAAGCGCUUCAUUGAUAUUUAUAUUCCAAAUUACAAGAAUGUUACGGUUUUAUGAUCGGUUAUUGACGUUGUCGGUUGCUGGAUAAAUCGGCAACAUAAUGCUGCAAUGUUGCUUCCCGUCAUUAAGAGGUCCCUUCGUGUUUGAUGUUUGCCGUACUCGUGCAAUCCGAUGAGCGCUGAAUUGUUACAGCACUCGUUGUACUCGGCUGUCCGAUAAGCUGUACCCUGUUCGUGGUGAAUUCUGCGGCCAAUAUUUGCCUGAGGAUACCGAGGAUAAUCUUGGCCACCAGCAGUAAUGUCCGUCUUGCCCAUGUACCAGCUACCUUCAUGCACCGCGAAAAAAAGGUAAAGUGAACAUUUCAUUAUUUGUGUUUACUGCAAUUAUUGUUUAUAUUCAAUUCCCUUUAAUUUUAUACCCGGCAGUUAGCAUCACACGUCAAUUUAUUACAAUAUUAAUUUGUAUACUUGUCGACUUCUAUUAUGAUUAAGUUAUAUUUUACUUUAGAAUUUGGAUCGUAAAACACCCAUUGAUGCAUACUGUGGGGGAAUAUUCACUCGAGAAUCGCCUGCCACGAUAUCAAUCAAGGGACACCUUCCAACCUGGUGGAGAGCUGCUGCGUUUCGACGGGAUGCGAUACCUCUAUAAUUUGCGGCCUCACAUUAUUUUUCAAACUAGUACAAAUAAUGCGCACAGGGAAUGACAGAAAAAAAACUUCCCGAUUAUUAAACCACGAACGCAUUCAUUUAGUUAACUUAUAAUUAGCAUUGUAUAUAUUUAGGGAGCUUUGACAAUUAAUUUGAUGAAUGCUUGUGGAAUAUCAUGCAGUGUAAACUCUUUAUAACGAUACUUAUUAUAGUUAGUUGAUUUAACACAAAGCAACCUUCUUUUACAUAUUUCUACGUCAUUAUAAAAAAAAGAUUAUCAAGAGUUUACAUUGUAUUGCACAUUUAAUCGCCUCACGACUUUUAUUGUAUUGUAUUAUUGCUUGUCGUGCUAAUUGUCGUGCGUUUAAUUUGUUGGUAGUAAUGUGGAUGAGGGUAUUUGGUAGUUGCCGCACUGUUGCUGAUUAGCUUUAACUCGCGAAGGGGGCGUCUCUAGAGGUAUCAAAUUAAAUUCACCGUGGGGUUGGUAUUAGUUUGUUGCAGGAGUGACGCCUGCAACAUUGGUAAAUUCAUAAAUUGGGUUGGUUAACUGAGAUUUUCACAUAAAGGGUGAAAUUGUUGCAGUUUUUUUGGUAUAGUUCGCUAGAGAGACGGCUUAGAAAUUUCCGCGCGGGUUCUAGAGAUGUCAAAUUACAUUUUCCGUGGGGUUGUAUUAGUUUGUUGCAGGAGUUGCGUCUGCAACAUGUGUAAAAGCGAAAAUCUGGGGGUGCGGUGGGAUUUUCACUUGAAAGGUGAAAUUGUUGGGGUUUUUGCGGUGUAGGUCGCGAAGGGGACGACUUAAAAUUUUCAGCGCGGUCUCAAGAGAAGUCGAAUUAUAUUCUCGGUGCGUUUGUCAUUGUUUUUUUACAAAAGCUUCGGCUGCAGUGCGCGCAUUGGUAGAUUGUCUAUGUUCGUGUCAUCCUGUCUUCUACAAUUCCUUUCUUUUGUGUCUUGUGUUGUCCAUGUAGAACUUGAGAUUUUGUUUAAUUGUGUGUAUGACUUGUGUUGUUUUCCCUAUGAACUAAUGUGUUAGCUACCUGUGUUUAUGUGGAAUUUGUUCUCAUAUGUACAUGUUUAUGCACAUAUUAAGUGCAUAUAAGGGUAUAGAGUAGAUGCAUUGUACUGUAAUUGUUUGGGUUAUAAUGUUUGCUUGCACCUUGUGUCGUGUGUUUUAAUAUAUCUCUUGUUGUGUGUAAAUUAAUAAAUAUCUGUUGUGUAGUAUUUAGAAAUAGUCUUAGUUUGUGUAUAAAUAGUGUUGUCUGCGUCUUGUAAAUGUAAACAUGUUAUUUGCUAUCUGUAUUGCGUAGUUGUAUUGCCUUGCAGUUGCCUUGUGUUUAGAUGUGCCAUAGUUGUAACUUAUUGAUAUAUCUAUUGUGUUAUUCUUGCAGGUAUAGUAAUCAGUAUUGCCACAGCAAUACUUGUAACAUGAUUGCUAUAGCAAUACUAGUAACACGGUGUUGCCUAUGCAACACCGGUGGUAUAGUGUUGCUAUGGCAGUACAAGUAACAUCUAUUGCUGUUGCAAUACAGUAUGGUAUAGGUAUCAAUAAAGAAGUCUUUUAAUA